UAGCAAUUGGCCAAUUUAUCAGAAGAUAAACAAAAGAUACCAACUUGAUUUUUAUAAUAUGGUAACUUUUGAGCAACAAGCAGAAAUUGGUGAAAUGAUUAAAAAGUUUGCAGAAGUCAAAUCACGGAGAUAAGCCAAACCACGGAGAUAAGAAAGAAACUGGUAGUUAUUGUAAACAUUUUUGGAUUGUUAAAAGGGUAGAAGAAGGAAUCUAAAGUUUGUUAUUGUUUUGGCGUCUUUAAAAAUGUGACGUUAUAUGUGAUUUUGUUAUUAGAAAUAUUUUCAAUUUUUUAAGAAUGUAUUUGGCAAGAUAUCACACAUGUAACUUAUUUCAUAAGAUAUUAAAUAAAAAA